UACAGAGGUCUCAAGCGUUGUUCGGAUUCAUUGGGCGUAAAGGGUGCGUAGGCGGCGCGGUAAGUCGGGUGUGAAAUCUCGGAGCUUAACUCCGAAACUGCAUUCGAUACUGCCGUGCUUGAGGACUGGAGAGGAGACUGGAAUUCCUGGUGUAGCGGUGAAAUGCGUUGAUAUCAGGAGGAACACCCAUGGCGAAGGCAGCAAACUGGUCAUCAACUGACGCUGAGGCGCGAAAGCGUGGGUAGCAAACAGG
rnacentral:rRNA from 1 species